GAUGAACGCUAGCUACAGGCUUAACACAUGCAAGUCGAGGGGAAACGAUGAGAGAGCUUGCUCUCUUAGUCGUCGACCGGCGCACGGGUGAGUAACGCGUAUCCAACCUGCCUCUGACCAAGGGAUAACCCGUCGAAAGUCGGACUAAUACCUUAUGCAGUCGUCGGAAGUCAUCUGAUGACGACGAAAGAUUUCAUCGGUGAGAGAUGGGGAUGCGUCUGAUUAGCUUGUUGGCGGGGUAACGGCCCAUCAAGGCGACGAUCAGUAGGGGUUCUGAGGGGAAGGGCCCCCACAUUGGAACUGAGACACGGGCCAAAAUCCUACGGGACGGAGUAGUGAGGAAUAUUGGGGAAGGGGGGUAAGCCUGAACCAGCCAAGUAGCGUGCAGGAUGACGGCCCUAGGGGUUGUAAACUGCUUUUAGGCGGGGAUAAAGUGAGGGACGUGUCCUUCAUUGCAGGUACCGCAUGAAUAAGGACCGGCUAAUUCCGUG
rnacentral:rRNA from 1 species